CAUCAGAAUCCUGCAAAAGCCAGAAGAUGUGUGAUGAAGUGCUAUCGUGAAAGACAGGAGACUCAAUAAAGCGCCAAUCAAGGAACAACCCAAAGGAACUUCCAAGAAUGCGUACAAAGUCUGGUGCUAUUUAAAGAGUGCUAUUGACUUGGCAGUAAGUCUUUAGCUGUAGUGAAAGCACUGUGAUGCUUGACCUUACAGUAACUUUACAACAGUUAAGCAGUGUUGGGGAAACCAGAGAAUCCAAAGAUCAACAUACAGAGCAUCUUGUGGUGUAAGACGAGAGAAUCGCCCUGCCAUGACCCUUCUCAUCUCCAGCUGGGUGUUAAGAGCUUCCAGGGUCGGUGUGGGUGAGACGACUCCAUGUUUGAAAAGCUUUUUGAGCGGCUGGGCAUUCAUGUGAUGAAGUAUCAUAUCCUGACAGGACCGAUGAGGACUGAACAUACACUACUGGCUUUGGAUCUCCCGAACCCAAGCCACUCUUCGCACAUACGGACUGGGACUUCUGGAUCUGCGCAGCAUCCCGGGCAGCUUGUCCGAUCUGAGCAUCAUUGAACUGAGCAACAACUCUCCUCUUCCUCUUCUUC